GCUGGGUGUGGUGGAGCCCACCUGUAAUCCCAGUGGCUCUGGAGGCUGAGACAGGAGGGUCACAAGUUCAAAGCCAGCCUCAGCAAUUUAGCGAGGCCCUAAGCAACUCAGAGAGACUCUGUCUCAA
rnacentral:sRNA from 1 species